rnacentral:rRNA from 1 species
GAUGAACGCUAGCGGGAGGCUUAAUACAUGCAAGUCGAGGGGUAACAUGAGUGCUUGCACUUGAUGACGACCGGCGCACGGGUGAGUAACGCGUACACGAUCUACCUUUAAGAGGGGGAUAGCCUUUGGAAACGAAGAUUAAUACCCCAUAGUAUUACAAUAAGUAAAGAGUUGUAAUUAAAGCUUCGGUGCUUAAAGAUGAGUGUGCGUCCCAUUAGUUAGUUGGUAAGGUAACGGCUUACCAAGACGAUGAUGGGUAGGGGGCGUGAGAGCGUGACCCCCCACACGGGUACUGAGACACGGACCCG